rnacentral:SRP_RNA from 1 species
ACCAGGCAUUGUGGUGCGUGCCUGUAGUCCCAGCUACUUGGAAGGCUGAGGUGGGAGGAUCACUUGAGCCCAGGAGUUCUGGUCUGUAGUGCGCUAUGCCAAUCAAGUGUCCACACUAAGUUUGGCAUCAAUAUGGUGACCUCUUGGGAGCGGGGACCACCAGGUUGCCUAAGGAGGGGUGAACCAGCCCAGAUCAGAAACGGAGCAGGUCAAAACUCCCUUGCUGAUCAGUGGUGGGAUCCCGCCUGUAAAUAGCCACUGCACUCCAGCCUGGGCAACAUAGCGAGACCCCAUUUCU